CACGUUCCUCAAGUACUCCGUGUCCUUGCUGGGCUACGGCUUCUACGGAGACGUCCUGAAGGACAGCGAGAAGAAGCGCUGGAUGGGCCUCAUCCGCUACGACUUCUCGGGGCUCAAGACCUUCCUUUCUCAUCACUGCUAUGAAGGGACCGUCGCCUUCCUGCCGGCGCAGCACACCGUGGGCUCUCCCCGGGACAAGAAGCCCUGCCGUGCGGGGUGCUUCAUCUGCCGCCAAAGCAAGCAGCAGCUGGAGGACGAGCAGAAGAAGGCCUUGUACGGCCUGGCCAACACC